CAGCUUUCCCUAAGGUUGGUCAGUGAGAUGAAGGAAUGAAUUCAAGCAAGAGUCAGCAUGGCAGGCCCCUACUUCCAAUAAUAUAUAGAAGGAAACCAACAGCUUUUUCAGGGGAGGGCCAGCUUGCUGUUUCCCUAAAGUUUCAGCUGGGCCACUGCAAUAACCAUUGAAAGUUUUAGAACGUGGUGGUGAGGAGUCAUAUAAGAACAUGGCAGCUUUCUUGAUUGGCAUAUGGCUACAGUGAAAGUAUUGUUUACAGAUAACCUGCUUUUGAUGAGAAAUAUAAUUGGUGAGAUGUAGCUGUUCUGGAAUUUGGGAGAGACCCUUGAGGAGACUACAUGACUAGCAAAGUAUAAAAGCUAAAGAGACCUUGGAAUUGAUAUUGGUGCAUGCUCACUCACCCUGCUUUCUGGUAACACACAUUCCAAAUGUGGAGUGACUUGGGGUAUUCAGAAGUUGCUCUCUGACCUUCACUCUGCUUUCACCAUGCAUAUUGUGUGUUUCCUGCCCUGUUUCUUAUA